rnacentral:rRNA from 1 species
CAGUCGCCGCGGUAAUACGUAGGGUGCGAGCGUUAAUCGGAAUUACUGGGCGUAAAGCGUGCGCAGGCGGUUGUGUAAGACAGAUGUGAAAUCCCCGGGCUUAACCUGGGAACUGCAUUUGUGACUGGCGGGCUAGAGUAUGGCAGAGGGGGGUAGAAUUCCACGUGUAGCAGUGAAAUGCGUAGAGACGUGGAGGAAUACCGAUGGCGAAGGCAGCCCCCUGGGCCAAUACUGACGCUCAUGCACGAAAGCGUGGGGAGCAAACAGGAUUAGAUACCCGUGUAGUCCCUGUCUCUUAUAC